CAAAGUAACCCAUCACAUGGCAUAAUUGAUGGAACUGUUGAACUGGCUGUCAACGAAUAGCGAGGCUACAGUUGGGCUUGCCUGGCAGCCAUAAUACAGAGUUUGGUUGCUGGUCACGGUGUCCAUGGUAUAGGAGAAAGGGCUGAUGAUUUCUGGGUGGUAUGUAGAAAUAUGUUGGGCAGGUAGUCUCAAACUCGGGCAAGCCGCAGUACGAGGCCUGGUUCAACCCCCAGUAGGGGUAAUGAUGUUUUGCAGGUUGACACCGUACAAUGUUGGAGCUAGGAUCGGGUUCAGGAUUAUGAUAACGAAGCAUCUGGAGAGAUGCAAAAGGAGAUGGUAAUAGUGAUGAUCUUUUCUGGGAGAUGAAAAUGGAAGGAGAGAAAAGUAGCUUGGACUUGGCACAGUAAAAAGAAAGAGAUGGAAAGGUGACAUACUUUCAAGCUUGUCUAGUGAUUGAUGACAGAAGUUGGUGGAUUUUGGUAAAGAAGGGAGAGAAAUUGUUUAAAGAGAAUCUCGGUCUUAUAAUUCUUAGAUGCCACUGCCGGUCAAUUUGAAUGUGGGUGACUUGGUCUGACAUUGGUUUCUCUUUAUCAAAUUACUUACAAGUUCGAGUCUAGCCAGGUUUUUGACAAACGAAAGGGCUACUGAGUUCGGUAAUUUGGUGACAGUUGAUGAUUACCAUUUAAAGGGCUUCUGAGUUUGGUAUGGAUCAUCUCAGCAAGCGCAAGUGCUAAAUCACCUGAUUGAAUGUCAUUGAAAGAGCAGAUAUAGGACACUAUGUCGUAAUGGCCUGGUGGAUUCAGGUAGCGGGAAAAAUAUCCAGUCCAAUACAUUAUUGCUGAAGAUGGACCAACGAAGAAUAAAGAAACAGUAGCCAAAGGCACCUAUGCAUUUUAAUCUUCGUUGGCCAUUCCAGAACUCAAAAAUACGUGGAUGAUAAUCAAAAGUUUCAUGGAUCUCAGAUGGACAGGAUGCUAACAUCAUCGCCACUACAUGGCAAAAUAUGCAACUGCAAGGUUAUGGCCUAAGGCAAGAGCUAUAGCAAUUUUAGCUCUUUUGAUCCUUGACAAAGUAAAGAUGUCACGGCAAUAGUAUUGGAUAUAUGCUGGCAACAACCCAGUAUGUUCCAAGAAUUGGCCUGUUCAGAAUGACUUAUUUCAUAUAGCUCAAAGUGAAGAAGAGUUUACACAUGAGAAGUACUGUCAAAGCGGAAAUGAAGAAGCUAGGAAGCUAGCGCUUGGUGAUUUUCGGUCCAUUGAAGCUCCUUUUUGGCAUUUUGAUGUAUCAGCCAUCCAGUAAGUGGAUUAAACAAGCUUGCUUAAAAGUCGGCUCCUCUUUUCCAACUCUAAA